rnacentral:rRNA from 1 species
GAUGAACGCUGGCGGCGUGCCUAAUACAUGCAAGUCGAGCGAACAGAUGAGGAGCUUGCUCCUCUGACGUUAGCGGCGGACGGGUGAGUAACACGUGGAUAACCUACCUAUAAGACUGGGAUAACUUCGGGAAACCGGAGCUAAUACCGGAUAAUCUAUUGAACCGCAUGGUUCAAUAGUGAAAGACGGCUUUGCUGUCACUUAUAGAUGGAUCCGCGCCGCAUUAGCUAGUUGGUAAGGUAACGGCUUACCAAGGCAACGAUGCGUAGCCGACCUGAGAGGGUGAUCGGCCACACUGGAACUGAGACACGGUCCAGACGCCUACGGGAGGCAGCAGUAGGGAAUCUUCCGCAAUGGGCGAAAGCCUGACGGAGCAACGCCGCGUGAGUGAUGAAGGUCUUCGGAUCGUAAAACUCUGUUAUUAGGGAAGAACAAAUGUGUAAGUAACUAUGCACGUCUUGACGGUACCUAAUCAGAAAGCCACGGCUAACUACGUG